CUGCAGUGCGCGACCUUUGCAACGAAGUGACCGGUAUAGCGAAUGCUUUCGGAGAGCCCAAGCAUUUCGUUAUAAAGCCCAACAGUGUCACGAUUA
rnacentral:lncRNA from 1 species